rnacentral:rRNA from 1 species
UACGAAGGGGGCUAGCGUUGUUCGGAAUUACUGGGCGUAAAGCGCGUGUAGGCGGGUCUUUAAGUCAGGGGUGAAAUGCCAGGGCUCAACCUUGGAACUGCCUUUGAUACUGGAGACCUUGAGUCCGGGAGAGGUGAGUGGAAUUGCGAGUGUAGAGGUGAAAUUCGUAGAUAUUCGCAAGAACACCAGUGGCGAAGGCGGCUCACUGGCCCGGAACUGCCGCUGAGACGCGAAAGCGUGGGGAGCAAACAGG